UUGAACGCUGGCGGCAUGCCUUACACAUGCAAGUCGAACGGUAGAGGGGCAACCCUUGAGAGUGGCGAACGGGUGAGUAAUGCAUCGGAACGUGCCCAGUCGUGGGGGAUAACGCAGCGAAAGCUGUGCUAAUACCGCAUGUGAUCUGUGGAUGAAAGCAGGGGACCGCAAGGCCUUGUGCGAUUGGAGCGGCCGAUGUCAGAUUAGGCUAGUUGGUAGGGUAAAAGCCUACCAAGGCGACGAUCUGUAGCUG
rnacentral:rRNA from 1 species